rnacentral:ribozyme from 1 species
UACCCAGCAACUCCUAUCCCUACCUCCACGCGGUACCGGCCGGAAAAUAUGCAAACUAUGAGCAACCUUAGGGAAGAUCGGGUAACCAACCCCGGUGGGAACUUUGGUCGUAGGCUGACAGGGAAGG